GAGGAAGGUGGGGAUGACGUCAAGUCCUCAUGGCCUUUAUGGCCUGGGCUGCACACGUCCUACAAUGGCGCAUACAAAGGGAAGCAAGCUCGCGAGAGUUAGCAAAUCCCAUAAAGUGCGCCCCAGUUCGGAUUGCAGGCUGCAACUCGCCUGCAUGAAGCCGGAAUCGCUAGUAAUCGUGGGUCAGCAUACCACGGUGAAUAUGUUCCUGAGCCUUGUACACACCGCCCGUCAAGCCACGAAAGCGGGGGGCGUCCAAAGUCGCUGAGCUAACCCUUCGGGGAGGCAGGCGCCUAAGAUGAACUCCGUGAUUGGGACUAAGUCGUAACAAGGUAGCCGUAGGAACCUGCGGCUGGA
rnacentral:rRNA from 1 species